UUGCCCCAUCACCUGAUGUCGAAAAAACACAAAAAAAUUUGUGCUUUGCGCCCUGUUGCCAAUUCGCCCACGCCAUUAGCCUCUCGUCGCCUACUCCGUGGGCGACUCCAUCCAGAAAGAUAAGACCUCAAAGCUCUCUCUCUCUUUUUCUCUCUUUCUCAUAAUAUUCGAGAAUUUUUUUCGGUGGGCUAUCGCUUUGAGACUUGGCGUUUUCUCGGACAUCACGAUUCCUCCUCUUUAAAAGCCGUUCCACGCCCUCCACUUCGCCAUGCGCCGAUUCGCGACGGAAAGAGCCAAGAAGCUCAUCGUUGGCUCUUUUCUCUCCUCUCGAUCGCCAUCGCCUUCUUCGCAUCUCUUAUCCUCUUCUGCUGCCGCCGCGGCGUCCGCCAUGGGCUCCACUCAAUCCCCUCCCGUUACUCUGGAUUCUAUCAAUCCAAAGGUCAUAAAAUGUGAGUAUGCUGUCCGUGGAGAGAUUGUGAGCCAUGCCCAGCGCUUACAACAAGAGUUGCAAACCAAGCCAGGUGCUCAUCCCUUUGAUGAGAUACUUUAUUGCAAUAUCGGGAAUCCCCAAUCUCUUGCUCAGCAGCCAAUUACAUUUUUCCGGGAGGUACUUGCCUUAUGUGACCACCCAUCCAUUUUGGACAAAAGUGAAACUCAUGCCUUAUUCAGCGCGGAUGCUAUAGCACGAGCAUGGCAGAUUCUGGACUUGAUUCCUGGUAGGGCCACAGGUGCAUAUAGUCAUAGUCAGGGAAUCAAAGGCUUACGUGAUGCUAUUGCUGCUGGGAUUGCGGCCCGUGAUGGUUUCCCUGCCAAUGCAGAUGACAUUUUCCUAACUGAUGGAGCAAGCCCUGCAGUGCACAUGAUGAUGCAGUUAUUGAUAAGAUCCGAGAAAGAUGGCAUUCUCUGCCCCAUCCCUCAGUACCCAUUAUACUCUGCUUCAAUUGCUCUUCAUGGUGGUUCUCUUGUCCCAUAUUACCUUGAUGAAGCAACAGGAUGGGGACUGGAGAUUUCUGAGGUUAAGAAGCAACUGGAAGAUGCUCGAUCCAAGGGCAUUGCUGUUAGGGCAAUAGUAGUGAUAAAUCCAGGCAAUCCCACGGGACAGGUUCUUGCAGAGGAAAACCAGCGAGAAAUAGUGGAGUUUUGCAAGAAAGAAGGCCUUGUUCUUCUAGCAGAUGAGGUAUACCAAGAAAAUAUCUAUGUUGAAAACAAGAAAUUUAACUCUUUCAAGAAGAUCGCAAGGUCAAUGGGAUAUGGCGAGCAAGAUAUUUCUUUAGUAUCAUUUCAGUCAGUUUCAAAGGGGUAUUAUGGGGAAUGUGGAAAACGGGGAGGCUACAUGGAGGUUACUGGUUUCAGUGCUGAUGUGAGAGAACAGAUAUACAAAGUGGCAUCGGUAAACCUCUGUUCCAACAUCUCUGGCCAGAUUCUCGCAAGCCUUGUUAUGAAUACACCAAAGAAAACCUGCAGGUUGGAGAUGAAUCAUAUGAAUCCUUUAUUGCAGAGAAAAAUGGUAUCCUGUCAUCUUUAGCUAGGCGCGCGAAGGCUUUGGAGGAUGCAUUCAAUAGCUUAGAAGGUGUGACAUGCAACAAGGCAGAGGGAGCAAUGUAUCUCUUCCCCCGUCUUCACCUGCCUCAGAAGGCAAUCGAAGCUGCCAAAGUAGUUAAUGCGGCCCCCGAUGCAUUCUAUGCUCGCCGUCUUCUUGAUGCCACUGGAAUUGUUGUUGUUCCUGGGUCCGGCUUUGGGCAGGUUCCUGGAACAUGGCAUUUCAGAUGCACAAUCCUGCCGCAGGAGGAUAAGAUCCCGGCCAUCAUCUCCCGUCUCAAGGCAUUCCAUGAAUCAUUUAUGGAAGAGUUCCAUGACUAGGCCUCGUCUCCAACUCACCGAGCCAUCAUCCCUGUGAUGUUAUCUCUCUGUCUCACGUAUAAGAUAUUUGAAUCGGAAUAAGCAAUCCAUCCAUCCAUUCUUUUUCCCUUUUGUGGAUGGACCAAGUGCACGUUGUCACUUGACUGUAAUAUGCUACAAGCACAGGCUUCCUUUAGAAAUUUAAUGUGAUUUUCUCAAACAUGUUUGGCCAUUCA